rnacentral:rRNA from 1 species
AUUGAACGCUGGCGGCAGGCUUAACACAUGCAAGUCGAGCGAGCGGCGGACGGGUGAGACAAGUAUGGGAAAGUGCCAGAUGGAGGGGGAUAACUACUGGAAACGGUAGCUAAUACCGCAUAACAUCAGAUGUGCGCAGAUGGGAUAAGCUAGUAGGUGGGGUAAUGGCUCACCAAGGCGACGAUCCCUAGCGGGUCUGCGAGGAUGACCAGCCACACUGGGACUGCGACACGGGCCAGACUCCUACGGGAGGCAGCAGUGGGGAAGUGUGCACAAUGGGGGCAAGCCUGAUCCAGCCAUGCCGCGUGUGUGAAGAAGGCCUUCGGGUUGUAAAGCACUUUCAGCAAGGAGGCGUUACUCGCAGAAGAAGCACCGGCUAACUACGUGCCAGCAGCCGCGGUAAUUC